GGCCAUGUGGCGCAACGGAUAAUGCGUCUGACUACGGAUAAGAAGAUUCUAGGUACGAAUCAUGGCAGGGUCG
rnacentral:tRNA from 1 species